CAGCCACCUCCUGUAGCUCGUUGAGCGCCCCACCCCAGAGGGCAAGCAAGAAAGAGCAAAGGAAGGAGAGCCCAAACAUUUUCAAUCUUUCAUUUCCGUUUCUUUUUUUCUUUUUUUCCCGCUCCAAAAUAAAAAAUCGUGUGUAGCUUCGUCGCCUGGACAUCAUCCAUUUCACAGGGCCAUGGUGGGGAUCCAGCCCGCUGAUUGCCUCGAGGGGCCUGGGCACCCAGCGGUCCACAUGCACUCAGGGCCUGCCCAGUUAGAGUCUCAUUCUGUCUCCCAGGCUGUAGCACAGUUGCCCAUAGCUCUUUGCAGCCUCAAACUAACUUGCCUUUGUAAUGCUGCUCCUGGUGUGAGCGAAGUCCACCACUGCUCUGUCAAGGCCAGAAGCUCCAGCAGAGGCUAGGAAAGUUGCGACUUAGCAAUGCAGUGUUUCCCAAAGUGUAUUCCAGAGAACACUAGUUGCACAAGAUGACAAAGUGGUUUAUUUACAAGUAAACAGAAAAAAUAAAUGAUCAUUUUUAACACUUAAAUUUGUUAAAACUUUGGUUUAAACAAGAUUAAAUAGGUCUGAUCCCUGAAGAAUGAUUCAGGACUUCCAAGACACUAAUGCCCCUGGUGAACCUCCAUGAAGAGAAUAAAAAGGGCGACACUCCUGAAAUUUAUUUUAUCAUAAUGUUUUGUUUGUUUGUUUCACAAAACAUCUUUAGAGAAAGAGUAUGAUGUGCUGCUUAAGAGCAAGCACUCUGGAUGAAGACACAUUUGGGCUGGGUGUGGUGGCACGUGCCUGUAGUCCCAGCUACUUGGGAGGCCAAGGUGUGAGGAUUGCUUGAGCCCAGAAGCUGGUGGCUGC